AGCAGCCGCGGUAAUUCCAGCUCCAAUAGCGUAUAUUAAAGUUGUUGCAGUUAAAAAGCUCGUAGUUGAAUUUCGGGAUCAAUACGUCGGUCGUGCUUCGGUACGUACUGGCGUAAUUGAUUUCUCCCUUCUGACGAACCAUGAUGUCAUUAACUUGGUGUCAUGGGAAAUCAGGACUGUUACUUUGAGAAAAUUAGAGUGUUUAAAGCAGGCUCACGCUUGAAUACAUUAGCAUGGAAUAAUGAAAUAGGACGUUCGAUCCUAUUUUGUUGGUUUUUAGGAUCAACGUAAUGAUUAAUAGGGAUAGUUGGGGGCAUUAGUAUUCAAUUGUCAGAGGUGAAAUUCUUGGAUUUAUUGAAGACUAACUACUGCGAAAGCAUUUGCCAAGGAUGUUUUCAUUAAUCAAGAACGAAAGUUAGGGGAUCGAAGACGAUCAGAUACCGUCGUAGUCUUAACCAUAAACUAUGCCGACUAGGGAUCGGAUGAUGUUAAUUUUUAAUGACUCAUUCGGCGCCUUACG
rnacentral:rRNA from 1 species